UACGUAGGGUGCGAGCGUUGUCCGGAAUUAUUGGGCGUAAAGAGCUUGUAGGCGGUCUGUCGCGUCUGCUGUGAAAAUCCGGGGCUCAACCCCGGACUUGCAGUGGGUACGGGCAGACUAGAGUGUGGUAGGGGAGACUGGAAUUCCUGGUGUAGCGGUGAAAUGCGCAGAUAUCAGGAGGAACACCCGUGGCGAAAGCGGCUCUCUGGGACGG
rnacentral:rRNA from 1 species